rnacentral:rRNA from 1 species
GACGAACGCUGGCGGCGUGCUUAACACAUGCAAGUCGAACGGAAAGGCCCUGCUUUUGUGGGGUGCUCGAGUGGCGAACGGGGGAGUAACACGUGAGUAACCUGCCCUUGUCUUUGGGAUAACUUCAGGAAAAUGGGGCUCAUACCGGAUAGGAGCUCCUGCUGCAUGGUGGGGGAUGGAAAGAUUCGGCGGUUUGGGAUGGACUCGCGGCUUAUCCGCUUGUUGGUGGGGUAGUGGCUAACCAAGGCUUUGACGGGUAGCCGGCCUGAGAGGGUGACCGGCUCCAUUGUCCUACGGGAGCGACCAGUACGCCACGGGAGGCAGCAGUGGGGAAUAUUGCACAAUGGGCCGACGCCUGAUGCAGCGACGCCGCGUGCGUGAUGACGGCCUUCGGGUGGUAAACCGCUGUCGCCUGUGACGAAGCGUUAGUGACGGUAAUGGGUAAAGAAGCACCGGCUAACUACGUG